UAGGUCUGAACAUCUGUAUUAAUUCAAAUGGACAUGGAAGUGUCUACAGAACUGUAAAUAUCAUUUACUAAGAGAAACUAGAGACGUUUAGGGACCUGCGUUUGCCAGAGACACACCGAAGGAUUACGAGACAUAUAAAUUGCGCGUGUAAUUCCAGUGUCUGAGGGUUUCUUCCAGCCGCAGAUGACCAGUCAGGAUCCAGUCUGGCAUGAAGGAAUGAUUUGGAGUGCUGCUGAGCCAUGGAGUCCGCCGUUGAUGCAUGAAUCACUGUUGAAAAUGCAGAGAAGAACUACUGCACUGUCAAGCCACAGUACAUCAGUUACACUUGAAUAACAGACACUGGCGCUUUACUAAUGAGACUCGGACAGCAUGUUUGCAGAGCACCAACAAGCCUUUAGAGAUGAUAAACAGUCAUAUUUAAUUAUACAAAGUUAAUCACUGUCACCACAGAGACUUCAAUAAAUGUCAACC
rnacentral:lncRNA from 1 species